rnacentral:rRNA from 1 species
UACGUAGGGUGCAAGCGUUGUCCGGAAUUAUUGGGCGUAAAGGGCUCGUAGGCGGUCCGUCACGUCGGGAGUGAAAACUUGGGGCUUAACCCCAAGCCUGCUUCCGAUACGGGCGGACUAGAGGUAGGCAGGGGAGAACGGAAUUCCUGGUGUAGCGGUGAAAUGCGCAGAUAUCAGGAGGAACACCGGUGGCGAAGGCGACAUCCUGGACCAACACUGACGCUGAGGAGCGAAAGCCAGGGGAGCAAACGGG